UUAAUUUACAUUUUCGUGUUCUAUCUGAAAUCACAUUUUCCUUAUUCGGAAGCCCUAAUUUCUCUCCCUUACAUCGAGAAUUCUCCCGAAAUUUCUUCUCCCCAAAGUCGUCCUCAUCGACGACGACACCUUCACCAAAGUCUCCCCUUCGCUAGCGAAGCUCCCUCAAUCAAACUCCUCCAUCAAUGAGUCCAAACCUUGGAGAGAGAGGUUGACGCCACCAUCACCGAUGUCGCUCGCGUUCACUCCGAGAAACGACAAGCCGAGGCCGCUCAGAAAGUCGCUGAAUCGCAUGCUCAAUAGCUCACCGCCAAGGUGUUUGAGUUGCACAUGAAAGAGCUGCAUGCGAGGCAAGAAGAAAUCGAGAAGCGAGAUGAGACCAAACCCUAACCCUUUCUUGUUGUAUGAUAUGAGAUUGAGAUGUAGUUUUCGUGUUAAUUUGUAAAUUCUUUCGGUAGUUUAGUUUAGAUUGAGUUUCUUGAGUUUUAAAUCGGAGAGAUGAACCGCCAGCACAACAAUAAAGCAGAGGUACCCUCCCGGAAUGGGGCUUGGGCGAUUGAGAUGGCGUUUCUUCUUCUUCUCGUUUCUACCUUCACAUUUGGUUUUUCAAUAAUCUGCGAAAGAAGGACUCAUCCUUUGAUAUGCCGCAUAAAUGCCAUUAUGGAGCCUGCCAUCCUAGUCGGCUACCUUGUGCCAAAGAGUAUCAAUGUGGCCAUACAUGCAAAUUAAGGUGUCAUGGUCCUAAGCCUCCUCCUAAACCAGAGUUUACUCCGAAACCAAAGAAAAAGAAGAUUAUACAACAAAGUGAAGGUGUUCCUGGCACUCCAUGCCCUCCUUGCCCUGAACUUGUGUGGAGAUCAUGUGCUGACAGAAUGGUUUAUUUUGCAUAUCUUCAAAGCUCUAUAUGAACUUGGAUGUGCAAGAUUUGAUUAAUUUUCCCAAAAGCAACUUCUUUUAUGUUGCUAAUACAGUUGUUGUUUUCUUUUCACCCUACUAUUAGAUGGUUUGCUCUGAUAAAUCGCAGUUCUCCUGUGAAAAUUUAUGUGGUAACCCUCUACCAUGUGGCAAUCAUUAUUGUACAAAAACCUGUCAUGCCUUGGAUAGCCAAUUAUGAGGAAGUGAACCAUGUGAAGAUUGUUAUCUUCGUUUCCAGAAGGAAAUAGAGUCUGCAUGUCCACACAAUUACCCUCGGUCAUGCCAUCCUGGAGACUGUCCUCCAUGCAAGGUGCUCAUUAAGCGGUCAUGUCACUGUGGUGCAAUAGUUCAUGUGUUUGAGUGUAUAUAUUACAAUAGCUUAUCUGCAAAGGAUCAAAAGAUUGUCCGUUCAUGUGGUGGGCCAUGUCAUAGAAAGUUGCCAAAUUGCACGCAUCUAUGCCCAUAGACAUGCCAUCCCGCUGUUAGCUUAAAAGGAGCCAAUUCUAAGGUAGCAGAGUAGUGGAAAUCACUUUUCUCUCAUGAGCCGUGACAAUAGAGUGCUUCCAAUGUGCACUACAAUCAAUCUGAUUUAGUGGAUCUGAUUUAGUAUAUAUGGUUUGAUGAACAAACUAUGUAAUAAAUAUUAUUAAAUAAUUUAUUAGAUAAUUUAGUGAUGAAAUGUAUUUCAUUAUGAUAGUUUAAUUGAAUAUUUCACGUUAUAUUGAUUAU